GAGAAAUUCACAAAAUUUUAAAGAAUCAAGUGACAAAAGGUGGUGAAUCCUCCGGUAAGGGCAAAGAAGUUGUACCCGAAGAUCGGGACUAGGAGUACUUCGACUCCCGAUAUUGUUUCAAUUGGCAUUCGGGGUGAAGAAUGUCUGUCGAGG